AUGCAAAAGGAUGAUAGUACCUCAAUUAUUGGUUACCGAGGCAGUGAUGUGUUGAUGAACCUUCAGUGCGUGCGUUGGUUUAUGAAAUCUUUGCAAGUAAACUGGCCUGAUCUUUUGCAUUUUAUCACAAGAUGCUCAAAAUCAAAGGUUGGUAGGUAUGCGUACUCUGAUGAACUUGCAGUCGGCGUGUGCCUAGUAAUUGCAUGGAUUCACAUGGUCGAUAUCUUUUGGUCUAUAAAAGAGCAGCCUGAAGAGACGGCCUAUGCCAGGAAAACGAAGCGCGGUUUUCGUUCGUGGAGGCCACGGCAAAGGCCGGCAUUUGCUAUUGUGAGAUUGUGA
rnacentral:rRNA from 1 species